GAUGAAGAACGCAGCGAAACGCGAUAAGUAAUGUGAAUUGCAGAAUUCAGUGAAUCAUCGAAUCUUUGAACGCACAUUGCGCCCCCUGGUAUUCCGGGGGGCAUGCCUGUCCGAGCGUCAUUACAACCCUCAAGCUCAGCUUGGUGUUGGGCCCCGCCGCCCCGGCGGGCCCUAAAGUCAGUGGCGGUGCCGUCCGGCUCCGAGCGUAGUAAUUCUUCUCGCUCUGGAGGUCCGGUCGUGUGCUCGCCAGCAACCCCCAAUUUUUUUCAGGUUGACCUCGGAUCAGGUAGGGAUACCCGCUGAACUUAAGCAUAUCAAUAAGCGGAGGA
rnacentral:misc_RNA from 1 species